AGACUCGAUACUACACUCUUUGAGAUUGGACUUUAGGGAAGCUUCGGUCAACCACUUGGUGUUGCACUGAAGUGGACUUGAAGGAAGGUCAAUGAUUGGAGAUCCUUUUAGAACCCGGUUACUAUUCUAGGACAGGUUGAACCAACUAAACUUCAGUGGGGAGGGUACUUACCUAUGGAACUCAUGCAAGCCUUAAAACCUAGGAAUGAUGGUUGUGUGACUUGCUUGUGCUUGUUAUUUAUUUAACCUCAUAACAUCAUAACAUCAUAACAUCAUGACAUCAUAACAUUGUACUAACCAUUUCAAGGACUUAGGGAUUUAACUUUGCUCUGUUUUGUAUGAAAAAAAAACAAAA
rnacentral:lncRNA from 1 species